rnacentral:rRNA from 1 species
UACCCGCUGAACUUAAGCAUAUCAAUAAGCGGAGGAAAAGAAACCAACAGGGAUUACCUCAGUAACGGCGAGUGAAGCGGUAAAAGCUCAAAUUUGAAAUCUUCGGAAUUGUAAUUUGAUGGAUAAAAUUGCCACGGACAAAAGUUCACUGGAAAGUGACGCCGUAGAGGGUGAUAGCCCCGUUUACGUCCACCGGCACUAUAAUUUUAUUCCAAAGAGUCGGGUUGUUUGGGAAUGCAGCUCAAAGUGGGUGGUAAAUUCCAUCUAAAGCUAAAUAUUGACGAGAGACCGAUAGCGAACAAGUACAGUGAUGGAAAGAUGAAAAGAACUUUGAAAAGAGAGUGAAACAGUACGUGAAAUUGUUGAAAGGGAAGGGGAGGGAAGAUGUUAAAGGGACUCCUUCUUUUGUAGGGAUCCCCGCCAAAAAGUCUUUCCUCUCGCCCGUCUUGAAACACGGACCAAGGAGUCUAACGAUUAUGCAAGUAUUUGAGUCAACCCCCAAAUGCGUAAUGAAAGUAAUUGGUCAACCCUACCCUCCUGUCCUAAAGGGCGGGAGAGGAAGCAUAAUUAUUAGGACCCGAAAGAUGGUGAACUAUACCUGGAUAGGGUGAAGCCAGAGGAAACUCUGGUGGAAGCUCGUAGCGGUUCUGACGUGCAA